AAGUGAAUCAAUGAGCUGUAAGAGAUUGUGGGAGACAUAGAGAGCCCUGGGAGGAAGGAAGCUGUUGCAAUAAUCCAGUAGUGGUGGUGAGAGCAGAUCAGAUUCCAAAUAAAUUUAAAUGUAUACCAGCACAAUUGGCUGCUGGAUCUGAUGAGGGGUGAAGAAAUAAAAAGAGAAGCCCAAGAAUGAACCCAAGCACUUUUGGACUGAGCUACUGGAUAGUCACAGGAGAAGGAAGGACUGGAUCUGAUGCCUGCACUUCAGGAUAUUAACUUAUUACAACUUCUCAGAGCAGCAACCUCCAGCAGCGAAUCAUCGCUGGCACCAACCAUGCUGGGUGCUUGUGGAACCUCCAUACGCCAGAGGAAGCCUCCUGCCCUCACACAGGCCUGGCAAUAUGGAUGCCCAGCCAGCAGCUAGUGAAAUGAGACAGCCAGCAGCUCUGCCCUUGGUGCACCAUUCAGCUCCCCAAUUCCUCAGUCCAGUUUGCUUCUCCCCACCAUUGCUCAGCUGGUCAAGCCAUACAACCAUUUUCUGCCUCUCUUGCCUCCUCUGCCCACAACCCCCUGCCCCAAUCAAAGAGAAUUGAGAAACCCGUCUUCUUGCACAAGAGCAGCUACUGUCUAAAUGCUUUUUGAUCGUCUGCAUGGAGGGGGAAGUGGGCACAGCCAUGGUCCGUCCCAGUGAUGGAGCCAAGACCCAGAUGCCCAAGGGGGCCAAACCCGCCUUCGACCCCUCACUGCCCCCAUGGCCUUGGCGAUUCUGAAUUCUCAGAACAUACCGUGUCUAUCCUCCUCUCUUCUUCUCGGUGAUGUCAAGCCUGGUACCACCAAGAAGGAAAGAGGGAAAGCACGAGCCUUAUCUCUCCUACGCAUGCAACCUCUUCCUCCGGCUCCCACACGCUCGGCGUUAUAUAAACGCAC